GGGCCCGCACAAGCAGCGGAGCAUGUGGUUUAAUUCGAAGCAACGCGAAGAACCUUACCAAGGCUUGACAUCCCGCGCCAUACUAGGAAACUAGUAGUUCCUUCGGGACGCGGAGACAGGUGGUGCAUGGUUGUCGUCAGCUCGUGUCGUGAGAUGUUGGGUUAAGUCCCGCAACGAGCGCAACCCUUACGCCCAGUUACCAGCGAGUUAUGUCGGGGACUCUGGGGGGACUGCCGGGGACAACUCGGAGGAAGGUGGGGACGACGUCAAAUCAUCAUGCCCCUUAUGUCUUGGGCUACACACGUGCUACAAUGGCCGUAACAAAGGGAAGCGAAAGGGCAACCUGGAGCGGAACCCAGAAAAGCGGUCUCAGUUCGGAUUGUGGGCUGCCAACCCGCCCGCAUGAAGUCGGAGUUGCUAGUAAUCGCGGAUCAGCAUGCCG
rnacentral:rRNA from 1 species